ensembl:misc_RNA 7SK 7SK RNA
GGAUGUGAGGGUGAUCUGGCUGCGACAUCUGUCACCCCAUCAUCUGUCACCCCACUGAUCACCAAGGUUGAUUCGGCUGAUCUGGCUGGCUAGGCGGGUGUGCCCUUCCUCCCUCACUGCUCCAUGUACGUCCCUCCUGAACCUACACGCUCGGUCGAAGAGCACGACCUUCCCCGAUAGAGGAGGACCGUUGUUCUGUCAAGGGUAUUCAAGUAGCUGAGCUCCCCUGGUAGAACCUCCAAACAAGCUUUCAAGGUCCAUUUGUAGGAGAACACAGGGUAGUCAAGCUUCUAAGACUCCAGACACAUCCAAAUGAGGCACUGCAUGUGGCAGUCUGCCUUUCUUU